rnacentral:lncRNA from 1 species
GACCACUAAGAUUGUUAGUUGACAACUCAAGAUCAUUAAGAGAUCUCAACAAUCCAAUUUCUUGAGGGAUCAAACCAAAAAGCUCAUUCUGAUAAAGGUACAAAGUGGUUAAAUUCCUCAAGUUUCCUAUGGAAGGCAGGAUGGGACCACUGAGAUUGUUAGUUGACAAUGCAAGAUAAUUAAGAGAUAUCAACAAUCCAAUUUCUUGAGGGAUGGAACCAGAAAGCUCAUUCUGAUAAAGGUACAAAGUGGUUAAAUUCCUCAAGUUUUCUAUGGAAGGCGGGAUGGGACCACUGAGAUUGUUAGUUGACAACUGAAGAUCAUUAAGAGAUCUCAACAAUCCAAUUUCUUGAGGGAUCGAACCAGAAAGCUCAUUCCUAUGAAGGUACAAAGUGGUUAAAUUCCUCAAGUUUCCUAUGGAAGGCGGGAUGGGACCACUAAGAUUGUUAGUUGACAACUCAAGAUCAUUAAGAGAUCUCAACAAUCCAAUUUCUUGAGGGAUCAAACCAGAAAGCUCAUUCUGAUAAAGGUACAAAGUGGUUAAAUUCCUCAAGUUUCCUAUGGAAGGCAGGAUGGGACCACUGAGAUUGUUAGUUGACAAUGCAAGAUAAUUAAGAGAUAUCAACAAUCCAAUUUCUUGAGGGAUGGAACCAGAAAACUCAUUCUGAUAAAGGUACAAAGUGGUUAAAUUCCUCAAGUUUUCUAUAGAAGGCGGGAUGGGGCCACUGAGAUUGUUAGUUGACAACUGAAGAUCAUUAAGAGAUCUCAACAAUCCAAUUUCUUGAGGGAUCGAACCAGAAAGCUCAUUCUCAUAAAGAUACAAUGUGGUUAAGUUCCUCAAGUUUCCUAUUGAAUGAGGGAUUGGACCUCUUAGAUGGUUGGUAGCCAAAGCAAGAAAACUAAGAGAUGUUAACAAUCCAACUUGGUGAGGUAUGAUGCCAUUGAAAUUAUUCAAACCCAAAUCAAGGAUGGUGAUCAAUUUGGAAAUAUUACCAAUGUUGGUGGGAAUGGUUCCAUAGAAGGAGUUGUUAGAAAGAUUAAGAGUGAGAAGAUUAGGGAGUGAAAAGAAAUCAAAAUUGUGGAGCGUACCUCUUAGACCACAAUUCUCAAGGUUUAAACUGGAGACACUUCCUGACUUGUGGCAAGUAACUCCAAACCAAUGAUUGCAUGGGGAAACUCCAGACCAAGAAGAAAGGAAAGAUUGUGAUUGAGUAUGAAGGCUAGAUUUCCAUGUUAUAAGAGUGAGUGCUUCUUUUCCUUGCUCGAUAAUCAAAGAAGAAGUGGUAGGAGUAAAAGUAAACGUAGAAGAGACAUGAAAUGAUGACGACGAUGAAUAAAAAGGGAAAUGAAGAAUUAUAUAGAAGCAAAGAAUGGUGAUGAGUUGGGAGAGUGAGGAAUAGGAUGAAAGAUAUUGAAGGGCCAUUAUUGGAUGGGUGGAAAUGAAGGAUAUUCAUUACUUAUUUAUACACUCAAACUCAAAUCUACAUGCAUCUAAUAUUUUUGUUAACUACAUAGUCAUUUCCUAUAACAAAGUUUUCAAAUAUAUUAAUCAGCAUUAGACAUAAAGCUAGUUAGUUUUGACGCUCUACUUGCAAUAUUUCCAUUAGCAUGAUUCACUUACCAAUACUCUACUUGCAUUCUACGAAUAUGGACAUCAGAAUAGGCCACAUGGCUUGUAAUUGAAACAUUGAAGUUUUUAAUAGCUUUUCCCUUUUUAUCUUCAUUUUUCUUUAAUUUUACAUGAAUAAAUUGAAAAAACUUUUAAAAUUGUAGAUUAACAAUAGACAACCAUAAAUAAAAGAAUCUGAGUAUGCAUGGAAUUGUAUCUCAUCAAUUCUUUGUUAAUUAAGAAUUGGCUUAUGUAUAAAAUAAAAUUUUUGUUUCUAUUUUUUCUUUUUAAAAAAUAUAAUUUUUAACAUUUCUUUUACAAAUAUGGUUUUUUAUUUUAUUUUUAAAUAUUUAUAGAUUUUAAAAUUUAAUAAAAUUAUUUUUGAAAUACAAAAUAUAGAAAAAAAAAUUCUUAUUCAUGGACUUGAAAAAUAAAAAAUGGAAAUAUACACAACGUGGUUAUACUUAUAUUUUUCAUCAUACAAAAGAAUGCCUUAACUCAAUAAGUUUUUGUUUUCAAAUUUUUUUUAUGUUGUCUUUAUUAAUCUUGAAUUUUUUUUUAUAUAUGUUCCAAUAAUAGUGUAAACUGAAUUAUUUAUCAACUUAAAAUAAUUUAUUUAUGUUUUUUAUUAUUAUUCGAAACAAUUUCUUCAUUGUCAAUUAAAAUAUAUCUUAGCUGUGAAUUAAAAUGUAUAUAUACAAUUAUAUAUCAAUAUAAAAAAUAUCUUUCUAAUCAACUGCAUGCCCUUUUGAUAAAGACUUUUGUGGCCUUGAAUGGAGUCAAAAAGUGGCUGGAUUGCUAAUUCCUAUCAACAAUUAUGAUUCAAACAUUUGGAAUAGAUAUUAUAUCAAAAUGGUCCUUUCAAUGACCAUGUUUGAUGUAAUGGUCCAACAAUAUAUGGGCCCCAUUUAUUAAAUUUUAGUACUAAAUAUCUUAGACUCAUUUUUAUUUUUUUGUCACAGGUGUUUGUUUUUUAAUUCUUCGCCUUUUCUAGACAAAUUGUUUGAGUGAAAAGUGAAAAAAAAAAAAUCUUCUAUUUUGGAUCAAUUAAAAGGGUUACUUUCUCAAACUUAAAACUUUUUGAAAUAUAUUUGAAAGCUUGGAGAUCAAAUCAUAAAUAAAAUCUUUUACCUAUUUAAGUAAUUUUGUUGUUUUUAACACUUUUACCAUUAUAAGAAAUUGAUAUUUUUAAAUGUUUAGAAACAUCUAAUAAAAUAAUUGUAUUUUUCCUUUAUUUGGGGUUAAGUUCUCUCAAAUUAUAUCCCAUUUUAAUUUUGUAGAAUAAAAAAAAAUACAAAAUACGUUUUAAGGACAAUAAUGUUCUACUAAUUUCUAAAAUUUCUAUUAUUGUAAAAUAUUUUCAAAUAUGUUAAUUACUAUUUUUCAUUGAACUAUUAUUCUUCAAAUAUUCUAUCAUAACUAUAUAUAAAAUAAAAAUAAAUAUAGUAAUUAUAUUUGUACUGACAAAGUCGUUUAAUUACUAUUUAGUAGACCCAAGAGCAAUACCUAUGACCUUUUACACUAGAUAUUAUGAAAAAAGACAUGUUCAAAAUGUAAAUUUUAUUUUUUUUGUUUUUAAAUAAUACUACAUUAUUUUAAUUUAUUUUUAAUUCAACAAAAGAAAACUCAGUCCAUGGUCUCCAUCCAAUGGUAACAAAUUUUCUCUAGUUGAUUUAACAAUUAAAGAGUUGGCUUUUGCCCCCAAAUGCACAAAAAUAUAAGAAAUAAAAACAAUAAAAAUUCAAUGAUGAAAUAAACCAUUCAAUUCAAGAAAUAUAUGUUUUGUUAUGGCUCAUUAAUUUUAAAUUUAAACUUAGAAUUUUUUUUUCCAUUUUUAUCAUGGUGAUUAAUUUUUGUUUUUUGAUAACUUAAACUAGUAUGAAAAGAAGAUAAUUUUUUUUAAUAGCAAACAAUUGUCAUUAUUUCUUUGAUGGUAUAGCUACUAACACAUCACUUCUUCAUAAAAGCCCCUUUUAGUGAAACUGCUAUUGAUAAAAGCUCUACAAAUUAAAAAGUACUUGUAUCAGACACACUUUCAAACCGUACUCUUAUUUUUUAUCUUCUUAAGUUUCUAAUGAGAUAGAAAACUUCAUUUAAUUUAUAUUUGAAAAUUUUAUUAAAGGGUAGAAAAUUCCUAAAAUUAUGUGUCUACAAAUUAAUUGGAUGGAAAUAUGGAGCUUCCGUCUUUAUCAUAAGAAUGACUUGUUUUUGUGGAAUAUAUGGUUCUAAAAUAAAUUCAAGUAUCUUUCUCUUUUCCUAUAAGACAAAGCUCAUUCAAGUGUCUCUUUGUCAUGCAUAAUGGGGUAUAGAAAUGCAUGUAAGUAAGCCCUUUUAUAUGGCAAUGUGUUCCAUGACUAAAGGCGUCUAUUUUUAAGUUUUAUUAAAGGGUAGAAAAUUCCUCAAAUUAUGUGUCUAUGAAUUAAUCGGAUGGAAUAUGGAACUUCCGUCCUUAUCAUAAGAAUGACUUACUUUUGUGGAAUAUAUAGUUAUAGAAUAAAUUCAAGUAUCUUUCUCUUUUCUUAUAAGACAAACCUCAUUCAGCUAUCUAUUUGCCAUGUAUAAUGGGGUAUAGAAAUGCAAGUGGGUCUUUUUACUUGGAAAUAUGUUCCAUGACUAAUGGGGUAUAGAAAUGCAUGUCAGUGGGCCUUUUUACUUGAAAACAUGUUCCAUGACUAGCACCAUGUAUUUUAAAUUAAAUUCAAGGAAAGAGAGCACUCAACCUCCUAUGGACUCUUUGGAGUUAAAAGAAAUAAAAUAAUUAAAAAUAAAAAAAUUAAGUCAUUGAUAUGAACAUAAAAAAUAUAUUGAAUUUUGUACAAAAUUGUAAUAUGACUAAUUAAGUUAAAUAUUGCAAAGUAAAAUAGACUAUCAACCCUCUUGAAUCUCUAAAUUAAUUUAUUUUAUACUAUAAUUAGUAAAAUUAUAUUUUAAUUGAUUAAUCACAGUUGUUCAAUAUUAAUUUAUACCAACAUGUUAUAAAUUGUUUUGUCUAUUAGUAAGGUAGCACGCAUUUGAGUAAUAACAUGGUUGCAUAUAGAAGUAGUUAGCUCAUAUAUAAAAAUAAGAACCCAAUUUGAGAAAACUUAUGUGGUCGUGUCAAUAUGCCAUAAGUGACUUUUCCUUUUUUUAUUUUUAGUGUUUCAUAAAUAAAAAAAAGGUAAUUUAGUUUCAAUUUAUCAUAAUUUGGUUAAAUUAUAUCUUAAUUUAUUAUUAUUAUUAUCCUUGUUAUUGUUGUUAUAUGACACUUUUCAAUGAUAUGCACUUUAAUUAAGAUGUUCACUAUUUUCAAUGGGGGUAGAAAAGUCAAUGCAAAGAUAAAUUCUUACGAAUAAUUAUUAAGGAAUCUAUAUCAAUUAUUCGCAUCAUCAAUCAUUCACAUCAUCAAUCAAUCACUACAUCGUAUUCAAUAGGGUAGAAAAGUCAAUACAUAGAUAAAUUCUUAUGAAUAAUUAUUAUCAAGGAAUCUAUAUCAAGUAUUCAUAUCAUCAAUUAAUCACUUUACCGUAUUGAAUGGGGUAGAAAAGUCAAUACAUAAAUAAAUUCUUAUGAAUAAUUAUUAUCAAGGAAUCUAUAUCAAGUAUUCACAUCAUCAAUCAAUCACUUUACCGUAUUGAAUGGGGUAAAAAAGUCAUGCAUAAUAAAUUCUUAUGAAUAAUUAUUAUUAAAUAAUCUAUAUCAAGUAUUCACAUCAUCAGUCAAUCACUUUACCGUAUUCAAUGAGGGUAGAAAAGUCAUGAAUAAAUUCUUAUGAAUAACUAUUAUCAAGGAAUCUACAUCAAGUAUUCACAUCAUCAGUCAAUCACUUUACCUUAUUGAAUAGGGGUAGAAAAGUCAUAAAUAAAUUCUUAUGAAUAAUUAUUAUCAAGGAAUCUACAUCAAGUAUUCACAUCAUCAGUCAAUCACUUUACCGUAUUGAAUGGGGGUAGAAUAGUCAUGCAUAGAUAAAUUCUUAUGAAUAAUUAUUAUCAAGAAAUUUAUAUCAAUUAUUCACAUCAUCAGUCACUUUACCGUAUUCAAUAGGGGUAGAAAAGCUAUACUUAAAUAAAUUCUUAUGAAUAAUUAUUAUCAAUGAAUCUAUAUCAAGUAAUCACAUGAAAAAACAAAAACAAAAACAAAACAAUAUCUACUUAUUGAGAAUUGUAAAUAUAGCUUCAUAAUGGUUUUUUUUUUCCUUGCAAUUUUAUUUUCGAAAGAUGUUUAGAUGUAAGAUGAAGAUUAAAAAAAAUAAAAUGAUAGAGGGUAUUUUUGUUUUUAAAAAAAAUCAUAUUUCAUAUUUUUGAUAUGGAUGUUAAUAAAAAAUUUGUUUCCUAUCUUAAAGACAUAAUGGCUCAAAUACAAUAUAUCUAUGCAUCUUUGAUCAAUUAUGUCUAAUCAUAUUUAGAUUAAGAAUUAGCAAUUUUAUUCCAUCCAUCCUAAUAUAUGACUACUUACUUUUAUGUAAUCUACACUCCUCUUAAAGAUUCAAAGUUGUUCCAUAAUCAGUUUAGGAUUAAAAAGGCAAGUAUGGACUUAUGGAAAUUAGAAAUAAAUUAAUUUGAAAAAAAAAAAUAUAAAUUAAAAACUUAAAGAGGGAAAUCUUUUCAAAUACUUAAAUUAAUUUAGAAAAAAAAAUUAGAAUUUAAAAAAGAAAAUCUUUCCAAAUCUUUUUUAAUUUAAAAAUGAAAAUCUUUUCAAAGGAAAUCUUUGUGAAUUAAAAAUUAAAUUUAGAGUUGUAAAUAAGGUCCACAUCCCUCCGUGCUUUGAGUUAUCCACUGGGAAUAUGUAUGAUAUCGCAUAACAGAUUUGAAAAUUAGUAUAGGUUAAAGUCUUAGUGAUGGCUUUUGUGAGAUAAUUUUGUGUUUUUUCCUUCCAUGUAAUGGAUUUGAGAUCUACGGUCUCUAGGCCCUGCAGUUUCUACAUCCACACUUUAGGUGGUUUUCCACGUAUAUCAUUUGCCCUUGUGUGGGAUUGACUUUCCAUUUUAAUUGAUAAAUUUCUCAAGAUAAAUUUAAAAAUAAAAAUUAGGUUAAAUUAAAGAAGGGAAAUAAAAAAUAUAUAUAUUUAAAGUUAAUAAAUUAUUUUUAUAUUUUUUACUUUAAAUUUAUUGCAUUUAUUUUAACUCUUCAAUAUAAAAAUUAAAUAAUUUCAUUGGGUCUUGGGCUCAAUUUGAAGAGUUACAUGGACCUUUUAUUAAUUUGGGGGCUCAUCUACCCCCAAAACAUAAUUCUCCCAAAUUUUAAUUAUAUUUGAUUUUAUUUAAUAUUUUGCAUAGGUGAGAAAAUUAUUUUCCUUAAGAACCAAACAUAAUCUAAAAAGUACAAAAUACUCAUUUUUUGAAAAAAAAAAUACCAUUCAUUAAUAUUUAUUUAAAAAAUGAGAAUUUAUAUUUAUAAUUUAUAAUAAAUGAAAGGGAGAAUUAUGCUUCAAGGCCCAUGGGAUUGAAAACUGCAAAACAAAGGUUAAACUUUGUAUAAUUAAUGUGAAAAGUUAGAAGAACUUGUAAAUUUGUUAUGAACGAUAUUUAGAAAGUUUAUGACCCAUAAACGCCUAAAAUCCCCUUAAAGAGCCUUUUUGAAAAGAAAAAUCCUCUCCUUUUUUUAGGUUAGCACGCCAUCUAGCCACACGUGGCAAACUCUAUUUACAUUGGUUCUGAUCUUGGGGCCAUAUAUCUAACAAAUUAGAAAACAUAAAAAUAAGUUAUAAUAAAAUGGAAACUGAACUCUAAGUUUGAAUAAAUCAACCUAUUAAUAAAAUAAUAAGAUCAUUUAUAAAAUAUUGUAUAUAAAGUGUUUUAUGUAUUUAAAAAAUACCUCUAAUCAAUAUACCAAAUAUAAAAAAUACCCUUCAUUAAUAUUAAAUAUUUCUUUGUCUUGUACCAUUUAUACAGUUAGUAUAUUUAUUUUAUAUAGUAUAACACCUUUGUACGGUAGCUCGAAUUCCACACACCUUGUGAAUGUCUCAUAGAUUGGUUAACCAUGUUUACAUCGGUUUGGCUUUAAAAAAUGGGAAAAGUUAUUGUAUAAUUUUGUUUCACACUCAUUAUGAGUGAGAUAGGUAUUUGAAUAGUCAUGUACAAGUUAAGUAAAUAAUAUAAAAAUUUAUAUUGAAUUUAUUAAUAAGUUUAAUGAUUUUAAAAAAUAAUUUUAAAUUCAAAAAAUAUAUACAAUGACUAUAAAAAUAAUAGACAUAAUUAAUGUUUUAAAUUCUUUAAUAAAUUUUCUAAUAUUUUAAGACUAAUUUAAAAUUCAAAAAACUAAUUAAUUGAUUAUAAAUUAAAUAAAAAAAUUUAAAUACCAUAUCUUUAAUUAAGUAAUAAAUGUAUGAAAAAUGGCUUAUUUAUAUCUUAAAAAAUUAAACAUUAUUUGUUUUCAAAUUCAUUUAAAAAAGUAUAGUAUUAGCAAUCAUUAAUUUUGAAUUAUUAUUCUUAUUUUUAAUAAAAUAAAAUAAUUAUUUUUUUAAUAAAAAUGUUAAUAUUCAUAUUUUUAUAAUAUUUAUAAAAUCGUAUAGUGUUCUAUUAGAGAUUAUUAAUUUUGAAUUAUUAUCAUUAUUUAUUUUUAACAAAAUAAAUCAAUUAUGCUUUUAUAAGAUGUUGAUAUCCAUAUUUUUAUAAUAUUUAAAAAUAUAUAAUUUAUGAUUUUAUUAUAUUAUUAAUAUUCAUAUUUUAUUAAAAAAUAUUUAUUUUUAAUUAAAAAAUUGUUUUUAUUUUCAAUAAGAUGUGAAUUAAAUUUAGUUUAUAUUAUAUAAAUUGAAUUCAUUUUUUUUUUUCAAAAUCAAAAUAAAAAAUUAAUUUUAAAAACAACUAAAGAAUGUUUUCGAACAUAACUUGUACUAGAAAAUCAAAAUACCUCCUAAAACCCACUUAUAAGUGGGAUUGUAUUUUUAAAGGAAUCAUUUUUUCUUUCAUUUUAUCAUCAAUUAAAUUAUUUAAAUAUGAGGAUGAAGGAAAAAAGGAAUAAGAUAUCCAUCUUUUUAUUCAAGCUUUUGAUGGGCCUUUUGGAUUGGAUCAGAGAUUAUUUGAGGUCAAGUCUAUUCUCUCAAAUCCAAGGGCCGAAGCCAUGCCCUACAGGCCUCAAGCUUAGGACUCAAGUUCAAUGUUGGGGCUUGAUAUUCGAACUCUGGCUUCAGGCUUAAAUAUUGUAUAUAUAGAGAUUAAAAACAUUUAAAAAUAAAUAAAUAAGAGAGAUGAUGACAGCUGUCACAUGUAGAGAUUUUAAAAUUUUGAUUUGCAUGUUAGGCUUGCUGACCUGGUUCAGGGCCUUCAAGCUUCGCUCAAAGCUACUUGCAUAAUAACACUUGAUUUAUAAAGCAAACCGUACUUGACUGAAAUAAGAAAACAUAAUACAAAGACAAAGAAAAGUAAAAGCCAAGGCGCACACAAUGCAUGACAACAAAUAUAUAUACAAGGAGAAGUGAAGACCCUCAAGUAGUUUCACCUCCAUGACCAAGCAAUUCGCCCAAAGUAAUCAUGGUGAAUGGUUUUGACAAUGGCGGCCACCGUGUUGAGAGUGCUUGACAAACUUGUCGCAUGGUUGGUCGAGAUUGGGGAUUAGCAUGCAAGUGCUAACUUCACUGCAACCACUACUUCCUCAGCCACUUGAUUCAUAGGAGGUGAGAGACGUUGGUCUAUCUCUUCAUUCAACAGUAAAUGAUAGACAGUUGAUGGUGAUGAGGAUGACGAGGACGCUGAUGAAAAGAGCGAUGAGAUGAGUUCCCCAGGAUGCUUUCCAAAAAUUGCUUCCAAUGUUACCACUCCAAAGCUAUAAACAUCUGUUUUAUUGUCCACCUUUGAGCCAUAAGCAAGUUCUGCAAUUAAGGAAUAUUUUAUCAUGCUUUUGUCUGCUAAAUUAUUAUAAAAGUUUUAAUUUUAAUUUUUUUUUUUUUAUCUUAUGUUGUGUUAUUAACUCUACCAUGCAUCUAUUGGAAUUACGCAUCACCAUAAGCUUAUAGCCCAACAAAAAUAGGUAAUAUUUAACAUUAUACUCCAAACAAAUAAGUAAUGUAGAAAGCAAUUAGCAUGUUAAUCUUAAUUUCUUAGUAAAAGAACAGAAAGAUAAACUCGUAUGGUUUCACCAAAAAUUUGAGGUAUUAAAGAUUGAGUAUACCGUUCCAUCCCGAUGCAAUAAAUAACACAUUAAUAAAUAUGUAUGGAUGCAGUUUAGAGAUAAGCAAGUCACCAAGAAAAAUCACCUGGAGCAAUAUAACCAAAAGUUCCUGCAAAUGAAGUCCAAUUAGAUGAGUCUGACUUCAGAAGUCGAGCUGUGCCGAAGUCGGAUACAUGAGCUACAUAUUCUGAAUCUAACAGAACAUUGUUGCUCGAUAUGUCUCGGUGAAUUAAAGGAGGGGAGCAAUCAUGGUGCAUAUAAGAUAAAGCUUCAGCCAUGCCUUUGACAACAUUUAGCCUCAAAACCCAAUCAAACUCCAUUGCUUCUUCCUUGUUGCUUAGAAUGUUUCUCAAACUUCCCUUUUCCAUGAACUCAUAAACCAAAAAUGAGUUUUCUGAACAUGAACAAAAGCCAUAAAGCUUGACAAUGUUGCGAUGUCGUAUCUCUGCUAAAGCAUGAAUCUCACUUUUGAAAGCUUUCAGAUCAGCCAUCUCUCCAUCUUGUGUUGAGUGAAGUUUUUUCACAGCAACAACUCGACCUGUAGGCAACUCGGCCUUGUAAACAGUUCCAUAUCCUCCGGUGCCAAUACAAUUUUUUGAGUUAAAAUCUUCAGUCCCCUCAAUGAUGUGUUCAUAUAACAUUUCCCCAUCAUGGCCCCAUAUUGCGAAUAGAUCUUGAUGAGUUGCUACUUCUCUAGAAUUGAUUUUUCUACUCCUUACCAUUCGACGAAGAAAAUAAAUUCCAUAAGAAAUAAAUGAAAGCAAUGGAAUGCUCAAAAUAAGGAGUAUAAUCAAAAGAAAAAAUCUGUUCCCCUUCUUUUUGCCAGUGUUGCAUGCCUCGAGACCAGUGAUGUUACCACACAAACCUUUGUUAUUUCUUAAUGCCUCAAAUGGGGCAUCUCGAAAAGCUUUGAGGUUGGGUAGCGGACCUUCCAACUGAUUGUAGGAUAUAUUUAUGGAUGUCAGGCCUCGCAAAUCAUCAAAAGUGGGUGGGAUGGUACCUGAGAGGUUGUUAUGGGAGAGAUUCAAUGUUUCCAAGCUUUGUAAUUCUCCAAGUUGUUGUGGUAUCUCUCCUGUCAACAUAUUUUGGCAAAGGUCAAGACUCUCAAGGGUGAUCACAUUCCCAAUCUCAGCGGGAAUGCUUUCCCCAAACUUAUUAUUGCUCAAAUUCAAGGACAACAAUUUCCGAAAGUAUCGAACUUGUUGGGGAAUUGGGCCACUUAAAUGGUUUGAUGCCAAGUUAAGAUGUACGAGAUCGGACAAAUUUCCUAAUUCCAAAGGAAUGUUGCCUGAAAGUUUGUUGUUGUCUAUCACCAAAUUGAACAGUGACUUCAACAUACCCAAUUCNNNNNNNNNNNNNNNNNNNNNNNNNNNNNNNNNNNNNNNNNNNNNNNNNNNNNNNNNNNNNNNNNNNNNNNNNNNNNNNNNNNNNNNNNNNNNNNNNNNNUGGAACCAAAAAGCUGAUUUUUGGAAAUGUGCAAAGUAGUUAAGUUGACCAAGUUUCCUAUGGAAGUAGGGAUUGAACCAGUGAGUUUGUUAUUUGACAAAUCAAGAGCAAAAAGAGACCUCAAAAAUCCAACUUCUCGAGGAAUGGAACCAAAAAGUUGAUUAGAAUGAAGAUCUAAAGUAUUUAACUUGGACAAGUUUCCUAUUGAGUAAGGAAUUGAACCUGAAAGACUGUUAUUUCGGAGGUAUAAGGCAGUUAAGCUGCCUAAUUUUCCUAAAGAAUGAGGAAUGAUGCCAGAGAGAUUGUUAUUUGACAAGGCUAGAACACUGAGGGAACUUAGCAAAUGAAUAUCUUGUGGGAUGGAACCAUUAAGCUUAUUGGAAUGAACAAACAAAGUGACUAAGUUGCUCAAGUUUCCAAUGGAAGUCGGAAUCGAACCAAUGAGAUUGUUAUUUGAUAAAUCAAGAUCUUUAAGGGAUCUCAACAAUCCAAUCUCUGAUGGAAUGAAACCAGAAAGUUUAUUACCCUGAAGGAACAAACUGAUUAAGUUGCUCAGGUUUCCAAUCGAAUGAGGGAUCGGACCACUCAAAAUGUGAUUUGACAACUCAAGAUUAUUAAGAGUGCUCAACAAUUCAAUCUCUUGUGGAAUGGAACCAAACAGUUUAUUAUGAGAAAGAUACAAAUACAUUAAAUUGACCAAGUUUCCUAUGGAAGUAGGGAUCGAACCCGUCAAAUUGUUAUCAGACAAGUCAAGUUCAAUAAGAGAUCUCAACAAUCCAAUUUCUUGAGGGAUGGGACCAGAAAGUUCAUUAUUAUAAAGGUACAAAUUGAUUAAAUUCCUCAAGUUUCCUAUGGAAGGCGGGAUGGGACCAUUGAGAUUGUUAGUUGACAAGGCAAGAUUAUUAAGAGAUCUCAACAAUCCAAUUUCUUGAGGGAUAGAACCAGAAAGCUCAUUCCUAUGAAGGUACAAAGUGGUUAAAUUCCUCAAGUUUCCUAUGGAAGGCGGGAUGGGACCACUAAGAUUGUUAGUUGACAACUUAAGAUCAUUAAGAGAUCUCAACAAUCCAAUUUCUUGAGGGAUCAAACCAGAAAGCUCAUUCUGAUAAAGGUACAAAGUGGUUAAAUUCCUCAAGUUUCCUAUGGAAGGCGGGAUGGGACCACUGAGAUUGUUAGUUGACAACUCAAGAUCAUUAAGAGAUCUCAACAAUCCAAUUUCUUGAGGGAUCAAACCAGAAAGCUCAUUCUGAUAAAGGUACAAAGUGGUUAAAUUCCUCAAGUUUCCUAUGGAAGGCGGGAUGGGACCACUGAGAUUGUUAGUUGACAACUCAAGAUCAUUAAGAGAUCUCAACAAUCCAAUUUCUUGAGGGAUCGAACCAGAAAGUUCAUUCGUAUAAAGGUACAAAGUGGUUAAAUUCCUCAAGUUUCCUAUGGAAGGCGGGAUGGGACCACUGAGAUUGUUAGUUGACAACUCAAGAUCAUUAAGAGAUCUCAACAAUCCAAUUUCUUGAGGGAUAGAACCAGAAAGCUCAUUCUCAUAAAGGUGCAAAGUGGUUAAAUUCCUCAAGUUUCCUAUGGAAGGCGGGAUGGGACC